rnacentral:rRNA from 1 species
AUGAACGCUGGCGGCGUGCCUAAUACCUGCAAGUCGAGCGAACAGACGAGGAGCUUGCUCCUUUGACGUUAGCGGCGGACGGGUGAGUAACACGUGGAUAACCUACCUAUAAGACUGGGAUAACUUCGGGAAACCGGAGCUAAUACCGGAUAACAUGUUGAACCGCAUGGUUCAACAGUGAAAGACGGUCUUGCUGUCACUUAUAGAUGGAUCCGCGCCGCAUUAGCUAGUUGGUAAGGUAACGGCUUACCAAGGCAACGAUGCGUAGCCGACCUGAGAGGGUGAUCGGCCACACUGGAACUGAGACACGGUCCAGACUCCUACGGGAGGCAGCAGUAGGGAAUCUUCCGCAAUGGGCGAAAGCCUGACGGAGCAACGCCGCGUGAGUGAAGAAGGUCUUCGGAUCGUAAAACUCUGUUAUUAGGGAAGAACAAAUGUGUAAGUAACUAUGCACGUCUUGUCGGUACCUAAUCAGAAAGCCACGGCUAACUACGUG